rnacentral:tRNA from 1 species
GACUGGAUAGCUCAGUCGGUAGAGCAGUUGCACUAGUAAUGCGAAAGUCUUGAGUUCGAAUCUCACUUCAGUCC